CAUGAUAUUGUUUUUUCAGUCGGGAAGUAGCUGGAAAUUUCAGUAAUUCAAAUGUUGAAACUCAACCACCUAUGAUGUCAUUCAAAGCAUUCCUUGGUACUCAAGAAGAUACUAUUACUGACGAGGAGGCUAUUAAACGCUACAACGAGUACAAAUUGGAAUUCAGGAGACAGCAACUCAAUGAAUUCUUUGUCGCUCAUAAGGACGAAGAAUGGUUCAAAAUAAAAUAUCAUCCUGAGGAAUCAGUGAAAAGAAAGGAUGAACAAGUAUCAGCGCUUAAGAAACGCGUGGAUGUUUUUCUGGAGUUGCUGAACUCGAGAGAGAUAGAAAAAGUGUCUGUCGACGCCGAUCAAGCAGAUGCAUUGCUACAUCUUUUAGAUGCAGUAGUUAUUAAACUGGAAGGAGGAACAGAAGAGGAUUUACAAGUUUUAAACAUCAAGCCACCUAAACCUAUAAUAGCUAAAGAUGUCUUGAAAGAAAAAGAAGAUAAUAAGAAUAAAUCUUCUACAGAAAAAAAAUCCGAGAAUAGCGAUGAAAACAAAAUGGACGAGUGUAGCGAGAAAAGCUCCAAAAAUGAUGAGAAUGCCAUGACAGAAGUCGAAAAUUCGGAAAAAGAUGAAAAUGCGAUAUCUGAAUCUGAUAAAAUAAAGCAAAAUGACGAUGAAUGCAAAGACGUGGAAGAAACUGCUAAUGAUGAUAAGCCUCCGGAAAAAUCAGAGAAAUCAAGGAAACGUAAACGUACCGAGAGCAAUAGCAGCAGUAGUAGUAGCAGUAGCAGUAGUUCUUCUGGUAGUGACAGUAAUAAACCAGAGACACCGAAAACGGAGACUCCUGCCAAUGAAAAAAUGGAGGCUAAUAACGAAGAAACUGACGAAGGAGACGCUAAGAAAGAGAAUCAAGAAACUAAAACAAAAGUAGAAAUUACGAAUAAUAAAAAAUCUACAAUUGAGCCAGAAGCAGUGAUUGAUUUGGCCAGUGAAGAUAAGGAUAAGGAACCUAGAGCUCUGCACAAAACGAGCAGCAUUUUCCUUCGUAAUUUAGCGCCCACGAUUACCAAAGCAGAAGUUGAAGCGAUGUGCAAGCGAUUCCCUGGAUUCUUACGCGUAGCUAUAGCGGAUCCGCAACCAGAGAGACGAUGGUUCCGCCGUGGCUGGGUUUCGUUCGAGAGACAAGUGAAUAUCAAAGAAAUCUGCUGGAGUUUGAAUAACAUCAGACUACGCGAUUGUGAGCUUGGUGCUAUAGUAAACAGAGAUCUGUCGCGACGUAUUCGAUCAGUGAAUGGUUUAACAUCUCACAAACAGAUAGUCCGACACGACAUUAAACUCAGUGCCAAAAUUGUUCACAAUUUGGAUAAUAGGGUGGGCUUAUGGAAGGAAGAUAAAAAGGAUGAAAGUGCAUUGAAGCAAGAAGAAGAGAAAGAGAAUAAGACCGCACCAAGUAGUAGUGAGGUCGAGCAAGCUGCUUUUGGAUUGUCAUCUAAAAAUCCAAUAUUGAAAAAUAUAACGGACUACUUGAUAGAGGAAGCUUCGGCCGAAGAGGAAGAAUUGCUAGGUAUGUCAGGCGAGCAAGAAGAAGGUCAAUUAGGUGGUGACGGAGAUAGUUCUAUUGAAAGAGAUCCAGUUUUAAUCAAGGUAUUAGACAAAUUAGUGUUGUACUUACGAAUCGUUCAUUCUGUUGACUACUACAAUCACUGUGAGUAUCCAAACGAAGACGAAAUGCCAAAUAGAUGUGGAAUAAUGCACGUGAGAGGAUCACCACCCAACGCCAAAAUUUCCAGCUCUGAAUUAUCGGAGUAUUGUCGUAAUUUCGAGAGCAAGAUGUCUGCUUUCCUGCAACCAGUCGCUACCUUAUCCAUUGAAGAAUUCGACAAGCUAGGCGCGAAGAAUGCCGAAGCUGAAGUCGAAAAAUUUGUCCAAGCUAACACCCAGGAAUUGUCAAAGGAUAAAUGGUUGUGUCCUCUUAGCGGAAAGAAAUUCAAAGGACCUGAUUUUAUCCGCAAGCAUAUCUUCAACAAACAUUCCGAGAAGGUCGCUGAAGUGAAAGCGGAAGCUGAAUACUUCAACAACUAUUUGAAAGAUCCAAAGAGGCCUCAGCUUCCCGAACAUCCUGGUAACAAGACUCCACUGAGGGAUGGACCGCGCGAGAAUUUUACACCAUAUGGUUGCAGCUCAUUCGGAAAUUACGGUGGUGGAUACGGCGGUAGCAGGGGCAAUUACGGUUCUGGCUACGGCGGCGGAUUCGGUGGUGGAUUCGGCGCACCGCGUUCCAAUCGUGGCGGAUUCAAUCGAGGACGGGUCGCUCCGGAUUCUGCGUCAAGAUCUGUUAUUAGUUAUAAUGACUUGGAACAGUCAGACAUGGACAUGUUUUAAAUUUUGUCGAAACCUACACGAAUAUAAUUUUUCACAGAACAGAACAAUCAUAAAAGCGCUAACAUUUUAUGCAAAUUGUCUUUCUGCCAACAUAUGCAUAUAUAUGUAUGAUGUGUAAUACAUCAUUAAGAAAAAGAUAAAAACGUCAAUUUAAUAAUCAUUGCAUUACAAAAUCAGCACAAUCUUUUACUCAAGUUGUUUACAAUACGACCUAAAUUUAUUUAGACUAUGCAUUGAGAUCCAAUAUUAUAUUCAUAGAAACAUACAACAAGAGAAACAAAUAAAAUCUGUAUCUUUAUGUAUAAUUUUUUUAUUUUUUAUUUUUUUUAAAGAAUUUUAGAGUCGCGAAUAGAUCUCUUUCAAUUUUCAUACAUAAUGCUAUCUAGAAUGAGUUUGAAGAUCCGCUGAUGUUGUAAAUUUGUGAAUAACAAAUAAACCUAUUUGUAUAUUAUUCUAAUAUAUUUGUUAUUUUAUUUUAUCCCAUUUCCACUUGAAUCCUAUGUCCGGUUGAUCGUAUGUCAUGCAAAAUUGAUAUAUGAUCUAAUCACAUAUGUGGCACGAAACAUAAUUAUCAUUCUUAAUAAUGCAUUAUAAUAAUAUUUUUGCAAGCUUUGUUGAGAGUUAACAACUUAAACAAUUAAUCAAAUUGCAUAUAAAUUUGUUUUUUCAUUUCAAUAUAGAUGAUAUGUGGAAGAUACAUAUAAAAGCAAAAAUGUUACGUACAUGUGCAAACAAAGUAACAAAAAAUUGGCGGUGGUAGCGACUUUCGACCAGUCAUACAUUAUCGAGACCUCGAUGCACCCCGAGAACCAGACGAAUUCCUGUAAGAUGAUCAAAUAAUCUCUACAAGAAGUACUGAUCGAAUACAAAGAUAUAUGGGCACCGUUUAAAAGCACUUAGAAUUUCAAUAUUUCUUUUGUAAACAACAUUCACACCAGUGUACGUUUCGCGUGUACCUGUGUACAUAUUUACAAUUGCUAUAAUUAAUUCUUCAUUCAAGAAAAUUAAAUGGAUCGUUUAAUUUUAAAACAGAAAAUGUGUAUGAAUAUUGAAUGUUUUUAAAAAAAAGAAAUAUUGAAAUAUUGUUUCUUCACAUAAAAAAAAGCUUUGAAUAAAAAGAAAAAAUCGAAAUCCAAUCUACAAGUAACAUAAUAAGAAACUUAUAUUAUGUAUUUUAUAUAUAACUUUAAUUUCACAGUGUUUCUGAAUUAAAAAGAAUAUAGAUACUCUUAUGUAAGCAGUAAAAUGUGCACUCUGAUGGAACAAAUUAACUUAUUCCACAUAAUAUGUUUUUUUUGUUUUAUGUGAGCAGAAGCAUAAAAUUGAUUUACAUAAACUUAAUAUUUAUCAUUCAUGACACGUAUGAACGUGAAAUGUAGAAUUAUAUAAUAAUGACACAAUAAAAGGUAUCC